GCUCGCUUGGUGAAAUUUGGCAAACACGAUGGAUUUAAAAUCCGUUCUCUGUAAGAGUUACUGGUUCAAAUCCAGUAGCGAGUA
rnacentral:tRNA from 1 species